GAUGAAGAACGUAGUGAAAUGCGAUAAGUAAUGUGAAUUGCAGAAUUCAGUGAAUCAUCGAAUCUUUGAACGCACAUUGCGCCCGCCAGUAUUCUGGCGGGCAUGCCUGUUCGAGCGUCAUUUCAACCCUCGGGCCCCGCACUCGUGCGGGCUCCGGCGUUGGGGACCGGCCUCCGCAUCGGGCGGCCGCCCCCGAAACCCAGUGGCGGUCCCGCCGCGGCCUUCUCUGCGUAGUAGCAUAUACCUCGCACUGGAGAGCGGCGCGGCCACGCCGUAAAAGAAACGAACUUUCUCAAGGUUGACCUCGGAUCAGGUAGGAAUACCCGCUGAACUUAAGCAUAUCAAUAAGCGGAGGA
rnacentral:misc_RNA from 1 species